CGAUCUAUAAAUAAAACCUGACAUGCAAAAAGGUACCAGAAAUAUAAAAAAGUAAAAUUAAGAACAUAUUCUAUCACUUAAAGCACUUGGCAUCCAAGAGAGGCUCUCCCUCAAAUGGCUCGCAGUCUUCAAUCAUCUGAUUCACCCGUUCCUUCUGGGCUGCAUCUGACAGGUCAACCUUCUUCCACUCGUAGAGUUCCAUGUCAUAGCACUCGUCAAUCACAAAUUGAGGAAUCUCUUGCCCACGGAAAAGCCAUAGUCCUUUCACCUUGAAUGGAGGGUUAGCACCGAUCACCAACAUCUUCCCAAAUGCAUACUUGCGGGCCAAAUCCAUUCUCUGCAGGAAUCCUCCAACCUUGUUCAUUGUGACAAAUGAAACUGUAUUCUCCUCAUUGUACUUGUAGUCACAAAACCACAGUGAGUAUCCCUCGGGAUCAUACAUGUCCCAGAAUCCUGACACGAAUCAAGUAUCAGAUAUCACAAGCCCAAACAUUGCUUUUAAAAGGGAGUGCUACUGUGAAAACAACAGGGAUACCUUUAAUUGCAACCUCUCGGAAAUUGGUCUUUGUGUUAGAGUAAAGCCUCUUCCAGUCAUCCAGUACCAUCUUACUUGGAGGCAGCAAAUCAAGAGGAUUCUUUGGUUUGGGCUUUGGUGCCUCCUCCUCCUCAGCUGCCUCUGCCUUUGCUGCCUGUUUCUCAACCUCCUUUUUGGCUUCUUUCUUUGGUUCAGCCUUUGGUUUAGUUUCUUUUGGCUGGGCAGCAGGCUUCUUUGAAGGAACAGGUGGUAGAGAGACUGCCUGCUUCACUUCACCAAGAAUCUUCUUGAUUUUUGGCUGAUUAACCAAGGUCCAAAAGUACCUCUCAACAUGAGGGAACUCCGAGGUAAAACUCUUAGUCAUGAUCUGGGAGAAACCCAAGUAGAGGUUACAUGUCAUGAUAAUGUCAGCAAGGGUGACAAAAUGUCCAACAAGAAAUGUGUUGGAAGCAAGAUGAGUGUUCAAAGCGCCAAGGGCUCUCUUCAAUGCAGCAAUAGCAGCUUCCUCAGCCUACAUGCAAAAUACAUAUAAGAGAUUAAAAUGAAAUAGGUAGGCAAAAUCAUACCAUUGAAUUAAAAUGAACUACUACUGAAUUACAAAAAUAAAAUUUAACUCUUAAUAUAGAUUAAUAAAUACAUCAGAAUGGGGGAGAAAACAACCUAGUCUCUUAAAAAAAUAAUGAGGAGAAAACCCAUGCCUACUUGAUUAUCAAUGCAAUGGGCAUUCCCUUCAACCAAAAUUACUUAAUAGUGCUUGAGUUGAUUCCUUUCCAGAAACUAUGCAGGGGAAAACACUACCACAUUAAGCAUGUACUAAAUGUUGUCUAACUAAUCCUCUCUAAAAUAAAUAAAACAAGAAUCAUAGACAGGUAAUCAAUGCCAAUUUUCCCUUCACCAUUCCCUCCUUAAUAUUUUGUAUUUCAAUGACUAAGUUGCCUUAUUCCAAUUUUAACAUAGGACCUAUUGUCUUAUAAUUAGAAAGAAACAAAGACUAAGUAUGGCCCCAGCAAAUCAAGCCCAAUUAAAAUGACAAAAGAAUCUGCGAGGAAAGACAGUAGAACUUACUGGAGGAAGGUAAACACCGUAACCAAGUCUUGGAUACAACCAUUUUGCAAUAUUAGCAUCAAUUUCCAUGGCUGCAAAAUCAAUCCAUUGCUCGAUAUGACCCUAAGAAAGCCAAAGUAAUACAUACAAACAAUUACUUCCAUGGUUUAAAAUAAACUUAACUGAUGACAGAAGAAUACAAGACCAUUGUACUAUAAGAAUCUUACAUAAUCAAUCAAUGUAGAACCACAUAUAGGGUUGUUAACCUUUGAGCGAGCAACUGCAGAGAAAAGUAUACCAAUAAGUAAAAACAAACAUUAGAGGAAGAAAAUUUAGGAUAUGGAGUCAGCAGAUCUUCUCACCAUAACGAGCAAUGGCAUUGCUCUCAAAUACAGGACCCUCAGGUGUUUCCAACACAGGAACCUAGAAGAGUUAUAAAUAUCUUCAGUGAACAGACCUAGAAAAAAGGUUACAUAACAUGUAUAAAAAAAAUUCUCUAGUUUAAAUCUAUUAAUAGGCGUUACAAGGUCACCUUCCCCAAAGGGUUCAUCUUGAUGAACUCAGGAGUCUUAUUUGACACACCCAUCUCAAAAUUUUCAACCAUUUUGACCUGCACACCACUAUAUUCUGCAGCAAUGAGUGCCUUAAAGGCAUUUUUGUUUGUUUUUCCUGCAUGCAAGACCUGCAUGUAAAUCAACACACCACAUUGAUUAGAAGAACCGGUUGAUUAAGAAGUUGAAUUGAAUGUCAAACACCAGUCAAUCCCUACAACGAAUCCAGUAAAAUCCUGAAAUUGAUCCUUUUCGCCCCAUAAAUUCUCUUAAAGACCAUUCACUUUACAUUCUAAACUACUAACCGGUACUUAGCAUUUCCAUCUACCAUACACAAUUAACCUAAUUGACGUAACAUCUCGCCAUCCAUCUUUCUUCUGGUCAAUGGUUCCCAGUUGAAAUCGAAGGUGGUAGAGUUAAAAUCAAAAUCAAUUUUUUUAUCGUUAUGAUUAGUAUCUACAAAUCCAUAAACUAUUCCAUUGAUAGUAAUUAUAUAAAACAUAUUCAAUGUGCCACUUCUUUCGCAAUGUAAAAAAGCUAGUUACAAUUUUCACUUUCUAAUUCUACUCGAAAUAACUUCCACUUAAUCAUUAGGUGUCAAUUCUUUCAACAGUUAAACUACCAAAAGAAAUGAAACUAAUAUAUAUGCACAGAUAUAAAGCUUACCAGAGCCAUGGCUUGAUAGAAAAGAGCGCUACGAUUUGAGAACUGAGAUCUGGAAAAAAAAAAACAGAGAACAAAAUAAAAGGAAUAAGGAAAAAUAUUCAAGCAGGAGAACUUGAUUCCCAUGUAUUAAGGAGUAAAAAUGAGAGAAAGGAUUAAGAAAGAACCUUGAAGACGAAAUCGCAGCGAGAAGGAGCGGGAGAGACUGCGGGACAAAGAGAGAAUAAAAGAAAGGGGGACUAGGGUUUUUGUAGAGUAGAGCGAGUGUGAUGUGGGGUUAUCAGUUCGGGUUCCGGUUUAGAUCCAGAUUUACUAACCCCUUUCUUUUUCCGGUUUUUUUAAGCGUGUCUUUGAGGUAAUAAGUCAUUUCAAGAAUAAUUAAAUAAAAAUAAAUUAUAUAAAAAAUUCUCAUAACCAUUGAACCAUUGUUUUUCUCCAAUUUUCCUUUUCACAACAGUUUUGCUUUUUAUGUAAUUACACACAACUAAUUGAUCUGAAUCGAUUGGAUCACUAAUUUUUAAUUUAAUUGUUUAGAUCACUCUGAACAACACUACUUUUCUCAAAUUUUUUAUCUUGUGUCUAUUUUUUUUAUUACCAAUAUAAAUUAACUUGGAGUAUAAUGAUUUAUAUUUUUGCUCAUGCUUGAGGUUGUUUGUUUAGAUAAAAGUUAACUCAAGUGAGUUGUAUUUAAUUAAAAACUCUAUUGGUUUGAGUUCAAACAUUAUUAUAUGUGAAGUUUUAUUUUUUAAAAAGAUUAAACUACCCUCGAAUAAUCUAAUUUAUUUUAAAUAUGAAAAACAUUUUUGUAAUUUUUUGAGUUGAUGUCCGGUUAACUCGUAUCACUAACUCAACCAAGGGUUUAAAUAAUAGUAUAGAUUAUUGCAUUUUAAUUAAUUUUUAGAAGGAAUUAUUUCUAAAAAUAUGUUUUUUUGGUGCACCUCAAUAGUCAACACUAAUAACUCAUUUCCCUAAACUCUAGACCCCUAAUUUCAACAAAGUGUAUAAUUGUUGAAAUGUCCACUUGUUGGUCUAAGUGACAAACGCAAAGCACCAAGAUCAUUUUUUAUGCACUAAAUCAUCCACGGUGUUAUUAUAUUGGUUUACCUCAAAUCAAACAAUUUUUACUGAUCCCCAUUGUAACUACUACAAUAGAAAAUCUUACCCAUGCCCCUAAACCUAACAUUCAACUCGAUGAUUUUUGUUAAUCAUCGUGCUUAAACAAACCCAUAAAAAGUUUACAUGUAUAAUUGAAAAACCUUAACCUAUCUCCUUAAACCGUAAAUCCCCAUAGUUGUGGGUUGAGUAAGCUAGAAACCAUGGGGAUUUUUUGAACUUGGCAUCUCUUUCAAAUAACAUAAAAACCCUAACUUAUUUUCCUAAACCUUAACCCUAAAACUUUAAUCCCCAAACAAAACCUUAAACACUAAAUAGAAACAUUUAAUAAAUUCCCAUCAAAUUCUUUCCUCUAAGGGUUUUUAUGCAUCUCUAAUUUCAAUAAAAAGUAACCUCAACUCUCAAAUUCAGAUGCCUUUUGUGAUAAUGGAUUUCCUCAAGUGUUAGAGCGCCAAUUGAGUAUGAAAGCUUCUUUUAAACUAACUUUAAAUAGGCUUUAGGGUUUAUGAUAAACCUUGUUUAUGAUUAGUAUGAAAGAUUUCACUAUAUCAAAACAAUGUUUCAACACUUAUGGAAAACCAUGAUCUAAAUCAAGAGAGUUCAAGUUUUCCUUGAUUGAAGUUAGAUUUUGGUUGAAAUCAUUGAUCUAAAAGUGAUAGUAGCCAGAAUAGGUUGGAGGAAAUUAGUUUUAAAGGACUUUAUCAAAAUUUUAAUUUAGGGUUUAAGGUUUGAGGGGAAAAGGUAAAUAUUUAAGGGUUAAAAGAUUUUGGUUUGGGGUUAGAAGGAAAAGGUUAAGGUUCAACUCUUGUUCAUUAGGUAAAUUGACUACGAUCUUGACACCCAUGGGUUGUUCAGUUUUAGUAUUAAUAAAAUGCAAACAAAUACAUAACAAACAAUUCUUCAUCUUCCAAAAUCAAAGCUAACCACUAUUUAAAGAUAUUGAGUUUAGUACCCUAAAUGUAGUAUAUUUAUUUUGUAUAGUUGUAUUUUUCGAGAAAAUUGGUUUAAUAAAAAUAUUCAUUGAUUACAUUAAUAGCCUUUGUAUAUUAUCCUCAACGAUUUUGUAUGCAAAGAAAAAUGGAAACAAAGAUUGGCUCACUAGUUAUCUAACAUUUAACAAAUGCUAAAUGGUAUUACGUGGUCGGAUAGUAAUACAAAAAAACAACUUAUAUUAGUAGAUAAACCUAAAUAAGUCAUUAGUCUAAUUGGAAAUGAGCAAGCCGCUUUAAAGACUUAAGUCGUCUACCAAGUCCAAUUGGGGAGAUGCUUUGUCUUGAGCAUCAAAACGAAGGACUCCCAGAAGAUAGAGACAUAGAUGUCACUGACUGGACUGACAAUACAUUGGACAUGACCUAAGUAGGAUAGAUCCUAGAUUGUUUUAUGAAUUUAUUCACUUGAGACAUUCAUAGUGUGACAUACCUUAAUCCUGAGUGGAUGAUGGACUAUGCAUGUAUGACUCAUAUACUUUGAUGGAAGUAAAAGCCUAAAUUCAAAUAAAUAAGGAACCGAAAAAUCGGUAUAUUGCGUAUACGACUUCUACAACAUAUAGCAUCAUUCACAAUAGUGGAAUUCAUAGCUCAAAUAAUAAGUAAAUGAUAUCCUCUCAUUGGCAUUACAUGAUAGAUGAAAAGUAAACAUGGCCACGAGUCAUUUGUCUUUGUGAUAAAUGACUUGAUUACUAUUUAAUAGUACUAGGGACUGCAAACCCUAGUAUAUUUAACUAGGGUUGUCGCCCCGCCCUCCAAUCCUAGUUAGACUAGGAUUAUGUUUUUCUAUUGAAAUAGACUUCUAAUAAUUCAACAAGGGUUUCAAUUCUUCUCCCUAUAAAUAGAUGGAAACAGUAAGGCUAAAUACAAAACUUUGAGAUAUUGUUAUUCUGCCCGAAAAUAGUGAGAAUUUAUUUUCUAAGUAUAAAUUCUAUUUUCUAGAAUAACAAUUCUAUUGGUUUAUAUUAAAGAGAGAUUUUCUUUUCCACUAAAAGUAAAGUAAAUAAUUUAUGGUUCUGUGCUUUAUUUGAAUUUGUUCGAGCCCACAAUCGAAGUAGUUCGUGGUACAGGAAUAACAAAGAAGGCCAUUCGAUUGAAAGCCAAGAAUGACAAGGACCCGUUUAGUCGAAAGCAUAAGUGCAAUUUCUGUAAAGGUUUUAUUGAUAUAACUAUCACAAAUCGGUUUGAUUUUCAAAAUUUAAAUUUUUCACUGGGCAAAAAAACUGUUUUCAAAUCAAUUUUUUUCCAACUUUCAUAUUAACCAAGAAAUAAUAACUAGACUUAUGAAAGAUGAUACCUUAAGUUUGCUUAAGGAAAUUGAUAUUCCACAAUAUGAAUAUUGCUUGGAAGGUAAGAUGACUAAGUGAUCUUUUAAUGCAAAAGGAAUGAGGGUUGUGAAAUCUUAGAACUUGUGCACACUGAUAUAUGUGGCCCUAAGAACGUCAGUGUGCGAGGUGAUUAUGAUUACUACAUAACAUUUAUAGAUGACUAUUCCAGAUAUAGGUAUGUAUACCUAAAGCACCGUAAAAGUGAAACUUUUGAUAAAUUAAAAGAGUUUCGUGCAGAAGUGGAGAAAGAACUAGGUUUACCCAUAAAGACACUUCGGUUUAAUCAAGGUGGAGAAUACUUAUUGGAUGAGUUCUUUGGUUACCUCAUAGAGAAUGUAAUAUUAUCUUAAUUAACCGCGCCAGGAACCACACAACAAAAUGACAUGGCAGAGAAAAGGAAUCGAACCUUGUUGGACAUGGUUCAAUUGAUGUUAAGUUAUUCAUAGCUUCGAGUCUCCUUUUAGAGAUAUGUUUUACAAAUGACUUGCUACAUUUUGAAUGAUGUACCAACUAAGUUUGUACCUAAAACUCCAUACGAAAUAUGGAAUGGCAGGAAGCCAAGUCUAAAUCAUUUAAGGAUUUGGCGAUGGCCAGCCCACGUGUUGGAUAAAGAUGUGAGGAAAUUGGAUUCACAGAUAAAGUUGUGUAUGUUUGUGAGAUAUCCAAAAGUAAUAAAGGGUGGUUUGUUUUAUAACUCGAAAGAGAAAAUAUUGAUAGUGUCGAUUUAUGCUCCUUCAUUGAGAGGAGUUAUACGAACGACUUUAAAUCUUGAAGUAAAGAAGUACUUGAUGAACUUUGAGGAAGUACACAAAUCCUUGGUUUUAAAUCCAACUUCUAAUAAUAGACUUGUAAACAAUCAUCAACAUAAGGAGCUUCAUUGUAGUGAGAAGGUUUCUCGUAAGCCCGAGUUCUUCUAGUCUAGCAGAAGUGUUUUAAACACUGAGUUUUUUGAACAGGAAGAUGAUGACCAACUCACAUUUAAAAAAAUGAUGCUGAAUGCUGAUUCCAAGCUUUGGGAAAUAACUAUAAAAUCUGAGAUGAAUUCUAUGAAAUCCAGCUAAAUGGAUAUACAAGAAGAAAAGAAUGUGAAUGGAAAGUGGAAACUUAUAAGGCUAAACUUGUAGCAAAGGGGUAUACUCAGAAAGAAGGUAUCGAUUACGAAGAAGCCUUCUUUUUGGUUUCCAUACUCAAGUCAAUCUGUAUAUUGUUAUCCAUUGCGACGACUCUUAAUUAUGGAUCUGUCAAAUGGAUGCCAAGCCGAUAUUCUUUAAUGACUAUCUUGAAGAAGACACUUAUAUGAUGCAACCCACUCGAUAUAUAGCUAAAGGAAAUUAGCAUAAAAUUUACAAAUUGCUUAGAUUCAUAUAUGGACUUAAGCGAGCAUCCCGCUCAUGGAAUCAAAUAUUUGAUCAAAUGAUCAAAACUUUUGAAUUUGAGCAAAAUAUUGAUAAACUUUCUGUUUAUAAACAUAUUAAGGAUGGAAAGAUGGUUUUUCUUAUUGUAUAUGUCGAUGACAUUCUACUCAUUGGAAAUGAUUUAAGUACAUUGUCAUCGGUUAAAUUGUGAUUAACCCAACAGUUUAGCUUGAAGGACUUAAGAGAAGCUAUCUUUGUUCUAGGCAUUCGAAUUCUAAGGGAUAGAAAGAACAAAGUGAUAGCAUUAUCACUAGGUAUAUACAUAGACAAGAUAUUGAAAAUUUAUACGAUAACUGAUUCAAAAUUUAGUCAUUAUACUAUAGUGGAAUAACUUCACGACCAAAUAAGUUUAUAAUUAAUAGACGAAAAGUUGGACAUUAAUUAUAAAUUAUUUAAGCCCUAAUUACGUAUGUACAAUUGGUCCCCCCACUAGCUCGUUGAAAAAAAAAUUAAUUGCAUGUGGAACAAAAUGAAUAGAAAUGAAUGGAAAUGAUAAUGUCAGAGAAAUGAGUCACAUUAACAAAUUAAUGUGUUUUCUCACCAGGUAUAGAAAUGAAUUGAGAAAUUAAUUUAAGGUUUUCGAAUGAUUAUUUAAUUAAUUAUAAUUAAAUAAUUGAAGUUAAAAAAUGAAAUGAAAUUAAUUUUCUAUUAUGAAUGCUUUGAAUAAUGAAAUUAAAUAUACUUCCUCAUAAAAUCUUUUACAAUAAAGUUGUUAUAACUUUAACGGAAUUAGAAUUGAGUUGAGAUAAUUAUUUAAUUGAGUAAUUAAUUUAGUUAAUUAAAUUAAUUAAUUAAAUAAUAUUUAUUUUUGAAAAUAGAAAAUAAACAUUAGGUUGGAUUAAAUCAUAAAAUGCUAGGUUAAAAGUUUAGGAAACUCAUAUAAUUGAACCCAAUACAUGAGAGGUCAAAUUUGUCCCGUAUAACAUGUGAGCAACAACAACCCAAAGGGAAUUUAAGAGGAUGUGUUGCCUCCUCUCUCUUAGUUAGACAAAGAGAGUGUUUUCUAUUAAAAUAAUUGUUGAGUAUGACUCCUAUUUCAGUCAAAUUUGAAAAAUAAUCUUCUAGUUAAACUCUGUUUAUUUGUUUCAAUCAAAUUAUGAUUAGUCUAGAUUAUUUUUUUAUUAUUUGACCUAUGAAUUUAGCCUAUAAAUAGGCUCUUUUACAACUUUAGAAAAUACACCCAUUAGAGAUUAGAACUCAUACACUUUUGGAGAAUUUUUGUGUUUACAUUUUGAGGGUUCUUUGUUUUUUGGGGUUUCAGGGUUUAGUUUCUAUCUUCAUCUUUGUACUAUUCGUUCUUUUUUCAUUAUAGUAAAAUUAUUUUUGCCCGCAGUAUUUUAUCUUCUUUGGAGGGGUUUUUCUACGUUAAAUUUGUGUGUUCAAUUUCUCAAUUUCUUCCGGUAUUUUUACUUGUUCGUUGCUUAAUUGGGUCAAUCCCCAACAAUAACAUUAUUUGUUUAAGCCUUAUUCAACCAAGAUUCUUCUAUCUCUCUCUAUGAAUAGAUAGCACCGAUUGACUUAAAAAACACACUUAUUAGUUAUUGAUUUAUCGUUAUUCUACCAAAAAAUAGUGAUAAUUUAUUCACUUAGAAUAAAUUAUAUUUUUUGGGAAUUACGAUUUUUACCAGUUUCUUAAGAGAAUUUUUUUCCUACUGAAAGUAAUAAUAAUUUCUUGUUCGUUGUUUGGUUCGUGUUUCUCGAGCCCACGCUCAACCCAAAUCCAUCUUGCACAAUGUAUAGGUACUUUUUGGUAAAACGUUUAUUGCUAUAAACAUCAUAAAUCGGUUUAGUUUUUAAAAUUUUUAAACUUCUGCUAUAACUAUAAAUCGUUAUGAAGGAUUUUGAAGAACCAUAUUUUUAAGUGGGACCGUGUGUAUUAAAUCAAAUAAAAUUAUGAAGAAUUUUGAAAAACCACAUUUGUAAGUGGAAUUGGAAAAAGGAAAUUGAGCUACUGAGAUCCCCUCUUGAAAUUACUUAUAAAUUCUGAAAUUCUUUAAUAUAUUUACCCAAACAAAUAAAUUCAUUUUUAUAAAUUUAAAAAUCUUGAUAAAAAUAAAAUCCCUCCUAUAAAUCCCUCACCCAAACACACUUUUAAGUACCUAUGCAAGUUAGGAAGCAAAUGAUGACAAGGACUCAUCACUUACAAAUGAUCCAUUAGAAUGUCUGACCGGCAUUACACGUGUGUGCAUAAAACAACAAAUUUAUAAAAAAAAAUUUAUAGCAAGGUUUUACUGCAAUCAUGCAGGUUAGUUGUAAUAUUUGUAGUGUUACAAUGGAACACCAAAAUAUUCCAAGGAUCGAACUCAAAGGAGUUGGUGAUUUAAUGAUCUGCCACGAAUUAUUGACCGCCUUCAGACAUACUAACAUCUAGAGUGUGAAUAUUGCAGCAAAAGAUAUAUAUAAAUGAUGCGGUAUCUGCAAGUACACGGGUCAGGUUGUAAUAUAGUUACAACGAAGUAUGUGAGUACUCUGAGGAUCGUACCCAAAGGAGGCUAAUACUAGCUCAAUUUCAACCUAAACACCAAAAGAUCUAAUUAGUACUUGAAAUAAGUUAUAUUACGAAAAUAUAAAUAAUAGAGAUUUUUGGGGGUUUUUUAUAGUAAUGAAAAUAUGACAAGUAAUUAAAUAUUGAGAAAUUGAAAAGUGAAAUUAAUCAAAUCUGAUUAUGGGUGAUUAGCUCACUUCAGUAAUCUUCAUCAACUGCCGCUUUAGGUUCCUCAUCAAUCAACUAGUUGAUAUCCUAGUAGAAUCUUCCGAUGGAUCCACUAGAACAAUAAGUCAGCAAUGACUACUUAUCUUCUGACCUCACAGUCUAGACCGGUUUGAGGUGAAGGUGUUUACAGAUAGGCCAUAGCAAUUUUAGGUUAAUUUCCACCUUGAUAACUUCUUAGGGUCGUCAAGCCUAGGUUUUACGUUCUUCUUUUCCCAAACAGCUGAUCUGUUGAGUAAUCCUACAAAACAGUUAAUAUAUCAUAGCUCCACUCGCUAAUCCCCCAUAAAAGGAUUAGUUCCUCAUGGUUUUCGUAAACAAUAUAAAGUUGAUAUAAAGUGUAAACAUGAUAAUUGAAUCGAAAGUAUAAAGUUUAAGAAAAAGCCUGAUUUGUAUUACGAAGAAGAAUGAAUCCACAAAGUUUAAUCGUAUCCACAAGUCAUAUUUCCUGAGAUAAAACAAAGAACAAGCUGAAAUAAAUAUAAAACCUAAGAAAAGAUAAAUACUAAACUAAAAAUAAAAAGAAAGAUUCUAAGCUAAGUAAUCAGUGUCUAUAACAUGUGCCAAAUGAGCCUAUUUAUAGAUUUGAGGUGAUCGUCGUCCUUAACCCUAGGUUAGCUGACAUUCCCGAACUUUAAGUUGGAUUGUGCGGACCAAAAUACCCCCUGGCUCGUAUUAAUUCCCGUCAAGAGUUGAUGUUGCGACACAUCAAAACCUGUGUCGCGACAUAAAAGUCAGUAUACUUUUCUUCAAAGUGUCUUUAGGGGUAUGUCGCGACAUCCUUAAGCUGUGUCGUGACAUCAAAGGAAAUCUUAGAAUUCCUCCAUUCUGCUCCCUAUGUUGCAAUAUCGAAUCCUCUGUGUUGCGACAUAGUGACUAGUAUCAGUUUAGCACGCCUCCUAAUGGUCUCCUAUAUACUCACAAAGUUCAUUAGCUCACCCUUAGACCUCGUUCGACCCCUAAGGUCAAGAAAAGACUCAAUUUAUACAUUUUGUUGAAUUUAAUUAAACUUACUAAAACAUAAUUAAAAUCUAAUGAUAAUGCUUAUUUUCAAGCUCUUAAAGUGAAAAAAUUAGUUUAAUCUACUAACCCAAUUAUGACAGAUCAAUUAUAUUAUUAUUAUUUAUAUCACUUUUUACACGUAAUUUUAGCUUGUUUAAUAGUAAAUAAAAUUAUCUUAGUAUAUAUUUAUGUUUUCAUACUUGAAGUAAUGAUGUAUGCUUUUUAGUAGUUUUUAUUACAUUUUAGAUAUAUAAAUAUGGUUGCAUGGUCCUGUAGGACAAUCUGGGAGCAAAAGAUGCAUAUUCAUGAUGGAACUGUUGCCUAUGUCGCGACACCAACACAUCGAUGUUGUAACAUCAAAGGCAGAAGCAAAAACAAGUCAAUGAGCGAAACUGCUUGGUAUGUCGUGACAUAGCCUUACUAUCUUGGAGCGAAGACCUAAUAAAUUGUACAUAAAUUGAAACCUUGAACUCUUCCUUAUCCUUGGUCUUUUAAUACAUUACAAAAUAGACGUUAGGCUAUAGAUAUUGAGGGUUUAGGUAUAUACAUCAUGGUGGUUUCAAAAAAAUUUAGAGCGAAAAAAGAAGAAACAAUAUGAUACAAUGAUUAUAGGUCAAGCAAAAAUGUGCAAAAAAAGAAAAAUAUAGAAAAAGUAAAAAGUAAAAAUAAGAAGAAAAAGUACAAAAUAAAAGCAAAAGCCUUAUGAGUGAGAAAAAAAGUAAAAUGUCAAGUGGCAAAACAAAAAGUCACAAAAGUGAGAAAAACUCAGUCAUCAAUGCACAAAAACUCGUUGAGCCAACCAUAGUUAUUAGUAUUAUAUUGUAUCUUCCUACAUGGAGAGAUAAGGAAGGUGAGAGAGGGAGAAAAAAGAAGGUGAGCUUGAAAGGGGCACCUAGAGAGAGAGGGAAUAAUGUCAUGUGCCUAACUAUUUCUAGUGUUUGAACUAUUUUGAGCCAUAUCUUUCUUUGAACUCGUACAGUCCUAAGCCUCAGAACAUUACAAGCCUAGAAGACCAAUGUGACUUAAGCGUUCUCUGUGCAUAAUCUUCUAGUAUUGCUAAUGUAAUGACCUAAAUUCAAGGUUAGCGGAAUAGUGGUUUCGUAACCAUAAAUCCGAUUUAAAGAAAAAUUUAUUUUAAUAUUUUGCAUGAAUAUUGAUAUGAUAGGAAAACCGUAUGAAAAUAUUGAUAGAAAAAUUUUACCGAUUUAAUGGUUAGUUAGAAAAAGAAAUUAUUGAAGAAAUUGGGUAAAAAUAAGGUAUGGGGACCUUGAUCUCGUAAAACUGAGUCAGAAAUAUUUUUAUAAAUAUUUAUGAAAUGUAAGCAAUGUGGUAUUAAAAUUUUGUUAUAAAAUUUUAAUGUUUGGGUAGUCAAUUAAAUGAAAAGGACUAAAUUGAAAAAGGUGUAAAAGUGGCUGGGAUGAUUAAAUAGCUUAGGUGUCUAAUGAGAAAGGAUUUAAAAGGCAAUUAGACCAAAAUUUAUUUGGGCUGGACGGAAAGGGCAUGAAAUCAGCAAGAAAAUGGAUUAUUUAAGGGUAAAAUUGGAAUAUUGCAUCAUUAACUAAAUAAAAUUAGGACUAAUGUAGAAAUAUCUAGAUUUCUUGUGAUUUCUCUUCAUUCUCAUCAGCCAAAAGGCCAUAGGAGGGGUUCUUUAAGCUGGUAUUUCAUAAUUUUUGCACCAAGUGAGUUAAUCCUUGCCUUUUUCUUGUAAUUUUUGUGUUUCUAAGACUUUUACAACUAGGUUCUACUAUUAAAUUCAUUAGUUUUUGAUUUCAUGGAUGGAAUUGAAAGUCACCAUGGUUGAGUGCUGUAAGUUUAUGAUGAAAUAACAUGAAAUUGAAGCUUUAAUUUGUUUAUGAGAUGAUUUUAUUAGGUAAUUUUAAUAGAAAUUGAUUUUUAAGACCUAAUUGUGAAAAGUUGGAAUUAAAGUCUAGUGCUGAAAUUUUGAUUCCCAAAGGUUAUAAAGUAGUUUAAAGUGAUAGAAUAAAGUGUUAAUUGAGAAAAAUCAGCUCAAUUGAGAGGUUAAUUGAGCAGGGACGAAAUUAUCAUUUAUUAAAAGCUUAGGGGAAAAUGGUAAUAAACAUCUUGCACUAAAACAGCUUUGGACAGCAACAGUAGGCUAACUUUAAAAAAAUCACCAUAAAUUGUGGAAAUCUAAUUAGAGGAUAAAUAAAAUAUUGAAUUAAAGCUUAUUGAGUCUAGUUUCUUAUAGUAGAAACGGUGUAAGUAAUGGAAUUGUAAAUCAUGAGAUAUAUUAAAUUUUGUGAGACAAGGUCAGAAUGAAUUCGGAAUCCCCUGUUCUGAAUUUGGAAAAUCAUUAAAAAUUGGAGAAAAAUAAUUAAGGGUUAAAAUUUACAUAUUUAAACUAUUAAUGAGUCUAUUUUUAAUAGAAACAAACGGAAAUAUCAUCCAAAUUUUGUACUAAGAGAUAAUUAAUUUUUAGCAAAGAAAGGUCGAAGUUGUCAAACAACAGAACAGGGGUAAGUUUGAAGAUUUUACUGUACUCAUUGGCUGAACCAAAAAUUCUGAAAAUUUUAUGGUGAAAAUAUAUUUGAGUGUAGUUUCAGAAGCAUCAAAUGGUUUUUAAUAUGGAAUUCUGUAGCUUGAGAUAUAAAUAAUUUAGUGACUACGACUCAAGUAGACAGCUUUGAGUGAACAGUAAAUAAUAGUGGAAUUAUAGAGAAUGUUACAUAUGAACGUGAAAUGUAUUAAAUUGAUGAUUAAAUUUAUUUAUUUAGAUCCAGAAAAUUCAAAUAUGAAGCUAGAUCGAGGAAAGGAAAAAGUUCGGGAUUAGUAGAUUUUUGUAUACGAACAAGUAUCGAGGUAAGUUUGUGUAACCUGAAUUAUAUUCUUAAAUGCUUGAAAUGUAUAUUAUUGAUGUGAAUAUGAUUUAAAUGUUCAUUGUAUGAAAAUUGAUGAGACAUUGAUAUAUUUGAUAAAAAGGGGGAAAAAUCCCGGUUGAAUAAAAGGAAAAUUCGAUGGAUCUUUAAAAAGGAAUUGACGGUAAAGAAAAGAUCUAUCCCGGACAGGUGAUCCUACCCUGAUAUAGCCCUCUCGAAGAAUAUGUGUAAAAUAGAUUUAGCUCAGACGGGUAAUCUGAAUUAGGGUUUGAAUUUAGCCUGGACUAGUAAUUCAGAUCCAAGCUCAUUAGAGUAAAUUGUCGUUGUAGGGGAUUUAGCCUAGACUUGUAAUCACAACAAUACUCUAUAAGUUUAUAUUACAGGGGAUUUAGCCUGGACUGGUAAUCCUGCUGUAAGGAUGAGGUUCGCAGGAGUGUGCUCUCUGAAAUGGAAAUGUGCGCACAUGAAUAUGAAUUGACGGACCCGGAAUAGUACGCUAAAAGUGUACCUCUAAAAACCCAUCGAAAUUCCGAGAAAUUCAAUGGGAUAAAUAUGGUAAAUAAUAAGGGUAAUAGAAAACAUGGAAUUGAUGAGCUCAUCAGUCAUUAAUCUUUGUAUUGAACUCAUAUGAUGCUAUUUGAUUAAUGUUUUGGUUGAGUUUGUGUGAUAGGUAAAUGGUAAAUUGAAUGGAUGUAUGAAUAUUUAUUGUAUUGUAUUGGAAAUAUUAGGUAAGUAUAAUUCUUGUUACAUGACUUUACUAAGCACAACGUGCUUACCCUGUUUCCUUUUUCCCUGAUUUGUAGUAUUAAGAGCUCGAAGGUUGGAUUCGGUCGGAGAUACAUCACACUAUCAACUUCAACAUUUUGGUAUAUCAAGAAACUUUAUUUUGGAAUCACUGAUGUGUAUAAGUUGAUAGAGUAAAUGUUAAAGUGAAAUGAAUGUAAAGUUAGCCAUUGGUAUGGCUUGAAAUCCAGGUUUUGGUAUGUGAUGAGGUUAUCUUAUGGAUAUGCGUAAAUCUAUCUUGAAAAUAUGUUGAAUUUGAUUGGUUGAUUUGAUUUGAUAUCGGUGUAUGUUUUGGGCUUCGGAGGCCUAUCUAAGGGACGUCAUAAUAUGUUUCAAUAAAAGAAUAGUAUUUAACUCGUAAUAACGAAAAAAAAUAAUUUGAAAAACUCUGGCAAUGCCUCGUACCCUAUUCCAGUGACGAAUAUAGGUAAGGAGUGUUACAGCUAACAAUUGUACUUAAUGAAAAUUUUUUAUUCACAUGAUUGUAUCUACUCAAUAUCUAUUUGAUUUCUAUUAACGGUGAUAUUGUUAAACAUUUGGUUAUGAGAUUUGCUUCUAAUUUAUUAGUAAUGUAACUUUGUAAAGUAAUCUUAGUUUACUUUAAAAAGUUUUCAAUGCAUCGAACUAUCAAUAUUAAGUUGCAUGUGCGAUAAAAUUUUUUAUAGCUUUACUAUUUGACAACCAUGUUCGUAGUAGUAAUAAAUUCCAAGGGACGUCUUCUUUUUGCAUACUAUAUGUCUAAAGUUGGUUUGCUUGAGGACAAGCAAAAAGUUAAGUGUGGGGGAGUUACGUGUGAGAUUCUUAUUUACAUCCAUCUUCACUAACUUUAUCUUGUUUAAAUAAAGAAAUCAAGUCAUUUUCGUAUUAUUUUUUUUCCUUUUUCCCAUAUAUGUGUUUUGGUUGCUUGAGGACAAGCAACAAGUUAAGUGUGGGGGAGUGAUCUACCAGGAAUUAUACUAUUAUUUACAUCCCUUUGUAUACAUAAUUGUAUCUUGUUUAAUAGUAAAUCAAGUUAUCUUAGUAUAUAUCUAUGUUUUCAUACUUGAAGUAAUGACAUAUGUUUUUUAGUAGUUUUAUUACAUCCUAGAUAUCUAAAUAAGGUUAUAUGGUCAUGUGGGACAAAUCGGGAGCUAAACAUGCAUAAACGGGCCAAAAAUGAUGCCUAUGUCGUGACACCAAGACACCGAUGCCGCAACAUCAGAGACAAAAGCAAAACAAGUCUUGGGGUGAAACUGCUUGUUAUGUCAUAACAUAACAGGCACCAUAUUUGAUUUUGCAACACUACAUGCCUAUGUUGCAACACCACUUCUGCGCGGUCCAAAAGUCCUAGUGCGUGAUAGUUGCAUUUUUUAGGGAAAUUAGGAGAAUUUUUCCUAGUCAAACUCUAAGCACUUCAAAGAUAGUUUAGGCACUUUAAUAUUCUGAGUUUAGCCUAUAUAAAGGCCAUUGUAAUAAGUUCAAACACACAAUUUUAAGGAGACAAAAAUUAUUCUUAGGUUUUUAUUGCAUUCUUAGUUUCUACUUAGUUUAUUUUAUGUUCUUGUAAUCAAAAGAUCCUAUUCCAAAGUGAGACUUUUGCGAGCGGAGAUUGUUCGGAGCCAUACUUUCAUCGAUAAAUCUAUGAGCAUCUCUUUCCUUUAUUUUAUUCUUUAUAUUUCUUUCUUUAAAAUUGUUAAUUGAAUGUUUGUGUAAAGAUUAGAAUCAAUAUAAUUUAUAUAUAUUUCGCAUGUUUCAAUUGUACUAAUCUUAUUAAUUGAUUGAUUGAUAGAGUUUAUUUGGGUUGGUUAGAUUUGGUUGAGUGUUAUUAAACCCUAGGAUUGACAACCCUAAGAAGUCAUCUAGGUAGGAAUUAACUUGAAAUUGGUAUUGCCUACAAAGCAUCACUUAGCAAAUCAAUGGUUAGAGAAGGAAGAACUUAAACCCUAUGAUAGACGAUCCUAGGAAGUCAUAUAGGUGUGAAUUAACCCAAAUUCGGUAUUGCCUAUCCAUGAAAACCUUACCCUACCCCGAUCUGGACUGCAUCAUUGAGAGGUGAGUAGUUCUUGUCGUCUAGUUAGGUUAGUAGAAGUUGAGAAGCCCUGCUAGGUUAAUUAGUAACCAACUAUUUAGAUCCCUACAUCAAUAAUUAAUUAGGUAAAACAAUUGGAUCUAGGCUUAAGGAACUCCCGUAUUCGAAACAAGGGAUAGGAGAAGUUGAUACAUGAACUUAAGAGUAGAUUUAAGUUUAGAUCACUUUAUUUGGUUAUUAUUAUCAUCUUACUUUUAGAUUAACACUACUAAUUUAUACCUUUAGUAGAUUAGUAGUUAUUUUCGGUAAUUUGCUUAAUAGUAGUUUUUUUUUCACACUGCACAAUCUUCAGAAUACUUACCAAGUAUUUCAUUGUAAACAAACUAUAUUACAACCUGCCCCUUAUACUUGUGAACACAACCUUAAUUCCAUAUAUUUUGUAACAGUAUUCAUACUCUCAACGUUGGUAUGUCGGGAGGCAGUCAUUUAGCGAUUUCUAUUCAAAAGUGCAUGCAAGUAAGGAGACCGUGAUGGGCACAGUGAGGUGUCUAUUAGUUGAAAGCAAGUUGCCAAAGGAAUUUUGGGUUGAGGUAGUUAACACUUCAGUCUAUUUGGUGAACAGGCUGUCAACCAAGGAUGUGAAAGAAAAGACUCCAUUUGAAGCUUGGUACGGGUAUAAGCCUUUUGUUUCUCAUUUGAAAGUAUUUGGCUAUAUUUUUUUUUCAUGUACCUCAGGUGAAAAAAAGCAAAGUAGAAAGGAAAUCGUAGCCUGGGAUUUUUAAGAUGCUACUAUCUGAUUCUUAAGGAAAUACCAAUAUUUCUUCCUCCCUUGAGCUGGAAGUUGCGAUUUUGGGUUGUUAUGAGGAGAUAUUUUAUGUUUGGUUAAGUAGUAUGACUUUGUAUGCGAGUUCUGAAAGAGUAAGUUUGUUAGAUUUGGUAAAACAAAAAGAUAAAGAUAUGAGGCUUUGUUUGGGGACUUCUAAUGUUAGAAAUGUUAGUAAAAAGGUAUAUGAAUAAAUUUUGAUGUGCUUCUAUGUUCUGUAUCAGUGCUUGCUGUUGAUUUCGUAAUGAGAGUCUAGAUCUAGAGUUUUUCUUUGCGACAAGUUAGAAUCAGGUGAGUCUCUAAACUGACUCUUGUAUGUAUUAUUCAUACUAAAAAAACUGUAGGAAAUUUCUUGGAAGGUGAUGUGUGAUCUUGUAAGUUGCAGUAUGUUGUGUAUGUGACUUAGGAGUGACUAUUAAAGGAUAUAUAUGAGUGUGUGAAUGUUUGUUAAGAAUGGAAUACAUAUCUGGUAUGAAUAUGAUAGUUCUAGUAAGGCGAGGUGAGGUAUAGUUGCAUCUGAAUGUCAUGAAAGUAUAUGUGCAUGUCUUGGAUGUAUGCUAUGAGGAAUGUUCUAUUAAGAGCAAGUUGUUAUUCAAAUGGUGAAUAUGGAUCGUGUCAGUGCAUGUAGAGUAUCUGUCUGUCUUCACGGUAUUGUCUAAAGGAGUCUGUUGAGACUUUAAACACGAAUUCUGAAAAGAAAAUUCCAUGGCCAUGGCACAUUCCGAAAGGAACUAAAGGACGAGGAUUACCCAAUGGGGUUAUCUGCCUAUCCCAGGAUGAUGAUAGGCAAACCUCACGCAACGUGAGUUUAGGAAAAUCUAUAUCAUAAAUACGUCAGGAAAUGAAGCCUUUGUGGAUAACUCUAAAAAGAAAGCCUUUGUGGCUAACUCUAAAAAGGAAGCUUUCAUGGCGAACUCCAAAGGAAUAACCUCUAUGGCCAAUUGUAAUAGGAUAGCCUUUGUGGCGCAAUGUAAAAGGAACACCUGUGUGGCGAAUUAUGAAAAGAAUAGCCUUUGUGAUGGAUUAUGAAAGAGCAUCAUUCGUAGCAAACUUCAAAUGUGAUGUCCUUGUGGCGUGUCUUAAUAAGGCUCUUAGUGGGAAAACUUUAAAAGAUGUCACUUAUGGCAAUUUUUGAAUUAAGCUAAUUUUCGUAUUCAAUCUGGCUUUUAAAUGUAUUCAGAACACAAUCAACAAGGCAUAAGUUAUCUAUUAAUUAUACGGUGAAGUAUCACAUAGGACUAUCAAUCGAUUGGAAGUAUUGAAUUGAAGAGAUAUAUAGAAAUAAGGAAUUAGUAUGGAAAGUUUAUUUCAAAAUAAGGAUUUGGAAUUGUACAUUUGAAGAAGGUAUUUGUCAUCUACUCACAUGAUGGCUUAGAACUAAGUAUGGUACAGUAAUAGUGUGUUAGUUAAGUUGAUCUUGGAAAGGAAAUGCAAAGAUACUUAUAAAUGCUAGGAUGAAAGGCAUACGUGAUGUAUCGAAUACCCCAAUGGAAAAAGAGUUAAUUUUUGAGUAAGGCAUGAUAUAUAUAGUGUAUGAAGAAUGGAAUUUGAGGGAAGCAAUCGCCAAAGACAGGUUACUGGGCAAGAACAAUAAGAUCAUCUCAUUGAAUCAUCAACUGUAUUGUGCAAAUAUCACAUAGGUAAUUAUAUAUUCCUCACUUAGUUUGUAUAAACUUAUCCAUGUGUAUGUUAUAUUAUAGGUUUGAUUGCAAGGCUACACCAAGAGGGACGAUACCAGGACUACUCUAAAGGAGUGGCGUAUCGGGAAAUUAUGAAUGCAAUUAGUUGAUAUGUUCCUUAGAAUUCAUAUUUUUUUUGUAAUAUAUAGGUUUUAAAUUAGAAAUAUUUAUACCUUAAUUACCAUGUGUUGCAAAUGUAGUUAUCUACUGAACAUACUUAUAUAUUUAGUUUGAAAUCUGCAAUUGAAUAAGUUGUAAUUGUUUGAAAUUUGUAUAAGUAGGUUAAGUUUUUGUUUGUUUAUGUUGGUAAUGCCCAAGAUCUAGAUCCAAAAAAACGGACCAAGCUCAACAAAGGACUUCUCCUCGGCCAUGACUACAAUAAGCUCAGUGAUGCAUUGUCGGUGCAAAUAAUGUUCUUCCCAAAACUUCAAUCCAUCUUCAAACUAGUAGAAUGCUUCUUUUUCACUUAUAUCAGAUAUUUAAAGCAUUUAUUCACUAAAGUACUAAAUAGUGCCUUCUUGAGUAAGCCAGUGCAACUUAGCCCGAGCUUCCUUCUCGGCAUAUUAUUGGUAAAACUGUUUUUUCAUCUCCUUUUGGAACUCCUCCUAAAUUUUAAUUUUAGUCCUACCAUGUUUCUCAUCCGUGAACCUACGAUGCCACCAUAAGAGAGUAACAUCAGUAAAAUAAAUUAAAGCAGUGUUUACCUUAGUGACAUCUAUAAUGACCCAAAAUUCACGGGCAUCGAAAAAGUAUAAUAUCGAGCCUCCGUCUUGAGUUUAAAAAUAAUUAUUAGAAAUAUUUACGAGACUAGUUGUGUGUUUAAUUAGGUUUUAGAUAGGUGAAUUUGGCUCAAUUAAGAGUAAUUAGCAAAAGGGAUUAAAUUACAAUAGAAGUGAAAAUCUAAUCAUAGAUUAAAAGAAAGUAAAAAGGGCUAAAAUGGCAAUUAAGCCAUUUAAAAUGAUUGAGGCGGCAUAAAGGAAUAAAUUUUAAGAUUUUAUUUAUUUAAUUAUAUGAUUAAUGAUAUUUAUUGUUUAUUAUUAGUUAUUAGUUAUUAUUAAAUUAAAAGAUAUUUAGUAAUUAAAUAAUUAGUAUAAGAUUUUUGGGUAAUAAUAAAUUAUGAUUUUGCCAAGUGUGUGGUAAAAAUAAAAUACAAGUGUAUUAUAUUUCUUUAUUUACUUGAAAAUUAAGUAAAAGAUAAUUGUUAAUUAAAUAAUAAUAUUAUGAGAUUUUUAUUUGAUAAAUUAGUUAGAUUGAGACAAGUGUAUGUAAUGAUUUAAUGCAAGUGUACUAAUAAAAUACAUACAUUUGUAAUAUUUAUAAUUAGUUAAUAUAAUAUAAAGUAAAUGAAAUAAAAUGAAAUAAAAACAAAGCAAAAGAAAGGAAAGAAACAGAAUAGAAGAGACGAAACAGGGGAGAAACAGGGGAGAAAGAAGAAAAAGAAGAAAAUAGGGAAAAUAGGGUUUUUGAAGCUUGAAAUUUAAUUUGGUAAGUCAAAUUAGCCCUUUUCUCUUAAUUCUAAUGUUUUAAAAGCUUUAAAACAAAGUUUUGAUGGAAUUAAGUUGAUAUUUUGUAAGUUCAUAGGUUUUCAAGUAACGUUUAUGUUGAACAAAAGAGAUGAAUUAAGAAUUAAAUUGAAUGAAUUUUAAGUUAGAAUUGAAAAAGGGAUUAAAUUGUAAAAGAAACUAUAAGUUUUAUGUUUUAGGGACUAAAUUGAGGGAAAUUCGAAAUUAGCAAAAAUGCUGAAAUUUCGAUAGUUAAAUUUUAGUUUGGAUGAAAUUUGAAUAGAAAUAGAGUGUGAAUUGAAUUAGGAAAGCAAGUGAAUUUAGUUAGGAUUAAAUUGAGAAUUAGGAAGAAAUUGAAUAGAAAUUCAAUUAUUUAUUAUAAUUAGUGCUGUAAUUAAUAUUACAAAUUAUUAUUAUUUUCGUAGCUAACAAAGAACCCGAGGCAUCGGCGUCAAAAGGAAAGGAGAAAGUUAUCGAGGACUAAAACGGGAGAUUUACGGUUUGUAUUACUAUAAUUCAAAUUAUUUAUUUUUAAAUGUUUAAUUUUAAUUUAUGUGUUUAGUAAAUGAAAUGUGCGGUAAGUAUUAUUAUUAUUAUUAUUAUUAGUGGGAAUUAAACUGAAUAUUUGAUAUGAAUUAAUAUUUGAAUUGUUUGUUGAUUGAAAGUGGGAAGUGAAUUUAAAUCGAAUAGUGACUGAUAUUAAAUUGAAUGGAAAUGUAUUGAGUUGUGAAAAUGUGUGAAUUGCGGAUUAAUUAUUGAUUGAAAGGUGGAAAAAUGAUUGAAUUGAAAAUGUGAGAAAUUGUGAUUGAAUUGGGAUUAUAUGUGAUUUAAAUACCCUAUUAACUAGUCGGGCUGAGUCGGAUAUAGUUGGCAUGCCAUAGGAUUGGAAGAGUUCAGGGAUACUUCGACCUCGAGUCGAUGAGACACUGGGUGUCACUAUAUUUUUUCGGAUAGAUUCGAUGAGGUACUGGGUACCAACUUUCUUCGGCUUUGCCGAUGAGACACUGGGUGUCAACUAUUGCUUCGAACUAUCCGAUGAGGCACUGGGUGUCAUACUGGUGUGUUUGGUUGGAUCCGUGUAUCCGCCAAAGUCCGAGUUUUGUUAAUAGGGUAAUUAAUGAAAUGAUAAACCGAACGAGCUACUGAAAUGAAAUGAAAAAGUUGAAUUGUGAAUUGAAAUGUGAAAUGAGAUUGAGAAAUGAACCUAAAGUUCAUGAGAUGUUCAAAUUCAAAUUGUGGAUAUGUGAUAUUGAUUGAUGGAUUGCUAUUGUUGAGAUAUUGAAUUUAAAUUGUAUAUACGAUUUAUGCAUUACAUGUACAUUAUUGUUAUAAUUUGAAUUAUGGUAAUACCACUGAGUAUGAAUUACUCAGCGUACGGUUGUUUCCAUGCGCAGGUCGAUAGAAGUCAAAGGUCUCGGUUCAGCAUCCAGAUUAAUCCCGGCUUCAGCAUAACUUUGGUGAUGUAUAUUUUCUUUUGGUAAUGUGGCAUGUACAUAGGAAUUAUAAGUUUUAUAUAAAUGGUUAAAAAUGUUAGUAUUAUAAGUUUAUGAAUUAUAAUGAAAGAAGUUUAUCUAUUUUAAUCUAAUUAGUCAAUGGAUAAAUUUAAAUUGAUAUUAUGUUAAUUGAGUUUGAUUAGAAGUAUUUAGAAUAGAAAAUGUGAAUGUGAAAUGAAUUGGUUGAUUUGGUUAUAUUUGAAAAUGUUAUGGAUUUUAAUUGCAGGGGGUUGUAUGUAAAAAUAAGCAGAAGUGCUGCCGAAAUUUUUCAAAAAAAAAAUGAAUGAAGUUUAUUAGCGAAAUUUAUAUGAAUUUAUGACUCUCUUUUAUAUGUUCGUUAAUUGUUUAUGAAUUAUUUGAAAUUUGUCUGAAAUGUCCGGUAAUGCCUCAUAACCCUGUUCUGGCAACGGUUCAGGGUUAGGGGGUGUUACAGUUGUUGGUAUCAGAGCUAUCAGGUUUAGCCGAUUCUCGGCCUAAAUCGAGCUCGGAAUUGAGUCUAGAUGUACAUGCCACUGUCGAGUCAAACUGAGUCGAGAUUUUUGGAUGCUGACCUAUUUGUUUGCUUUGUUUUAUAGAUUAAAGAUGUCUGAAGAAAGAAUAAAUGAUACUGAUGAAAGAAUGUAUACUGAAGAUAGAGAAUUAGAUGAAACAGAAUCUGCUGCACCGAGUGUGAAUCUGUUAGGCAACCAGCCUCCUAAUGUGGAACGGGAAAAUGCCAGAGAUAGAGAUGAAUCCCAAUUACUGAGAAUUAUAGCUGAUGCAUUACAAAGAGUAGCGAGAACUACUCCUGCUACGACUUCAGUACCUACUGUUAGACGGGCCCCGAUAAAAGAACUGAGAAAAUAUGGUGCCACUGAAUUUAUGGGUCUAAAAGGAGUCGAUCCAUCCGCAGCUGAAAAUUGGAUGGAGUCGAUUAAAAGAAUUUUGCAGCAAUUAGACUGUACCCCCCGUGAGUGUUUAAUCUGUGAUGUAUCGUUGCUACAAGGGGAGGCUUAUCUAUGGUGGGAAUCAGUAGUUCGACAUCUAUCAGAGAGUCAGAUAACGUGGGAUCUAUUUCAGAAGGAAUUCCAAAAGAAAUAUAUCGGAGAGAUAUAUAUCGAAGACAAGAAACAAGAGUUUUUAAUGUUACAACAGGGGGAUAUGUCAGUAAUAGAUUAUGAGAGAGAAUUCUCGAGACUCAGCAGAUAUGCCUCCAAAUUUAUCCUGACAGAAGCUGAUAGUUGUAAAAGAUUUCUAUGGGCUUUGCGAGACGAGAUCAAGGUACAGUUAGUAUCUCAUCGGAUCACUGAGUUAGUAGAUUUGAUUGAGCGGGCUAAAAUGGUGGAACAAGUUCUAGCCCUUGAUAAAAAGACUGAAGUUGUUAGACCAACCAGGAAAUGUACAGGAACUACGAGUUCGAACCUUCAGCCGAAAAGACCAAAGGAGUCUCAAGGUGGUUGAAGAUCCAGUUUCAGAUCAGGCAAAGGUGGUAGAAGCAGGGGAAGAUAGAUGACGGUAUCUACUGGCAAUGUGAGAGGUCCUUGUCGAGAAAUAGAAAUUCCAGACUGUCAACACUGUGGAAAGAAACAUAGAGGGGAAUGUUGGAGAUUAACUAGAGGUUGUUUCCGAUGUGGUUCUACAGACCAUUUUAUCAGAAAUUGUUUGAAAACUGAUAGUACUGUACCCGUGACAUCACAGAGAUCGGUAUCUACUGCUAGAGGCAGAGGGUUAGGAAGAGGUGGUUCGGUUUCAAGGGGAGGAAGUAUUAGGAGGAGUAGUGAUAUUGCUACCCAGCAGUCUGAAGCUAAAGUACCUGCCAGAGCUUAUGUGGUCAGAACACGGGAAGAAGGCGACGCCCACGGUGUAGUAACAGUAAGAUCAGAACUGUAUGUGAGUUUCCAGAUGUAUUCCCUGAAGAACUACCGGGUUUACCACCUGACAAAGAGGUUGAAUUUGCUAUAGAAGUGUAUCCGGGUACAACACCAAUCUCUAUACCACCGUAUCGAAUGUCGCCCACUGAGUUAAAAGAGUUGAAAGUGCAAUUACAGGACUUGCUAGAUCGUGGAUUUAUUAGACCGAGCAUUUCACCUUGGGGAGCUCCGGUAUUGUUUGUUAAAAAGAAAGAUGGAUCGAUUCGGCUUUGUAUUGAUUACCGGCAGUUAAACAAAGUGACGAUCAAGAACCGGUAUUCGUUACCCCGUAUAGAUGAUUUAUUUGAUCAACUAAAAGGAGCUUCAGUAUUUUCGAAGAUUGACUUGAGAUCUGGGUAUUAUCAGCUGAAAGUAAAAGAAAGUGAUGUUUCGAAGACUGCAUUUCAUACUCGAUAUGGUCAUUAUGAAUUUUUGGUAAUGCCGUUCGGGUUGACUAAUGCUCCAGCUGCUUUUAUGGAUUUGAUGAAUCGUAUUUUUCAGCCAUAUUUAGACCAGUUUGUGGUGGUUUUUAUUGAUGAUAUAUUGGUUUAUUCAAAUUCGGAGUCAGAGCAUGAUCAGCAUCUCAAAACCGUGUUACAGAUUCUGCGGGAAAAAUAGUUGUACGAGAAACUGAGUAAAUGUGAAUUCUGGUUAUCAGAGGUAGUAUUCUUGGGACAUGUUGUAUCUGCGGAUGGGAUUAGAGUUGAUCUGAAGAAGAUUGAGGCAAUUGUUCAAUGGAAGGCACCAAAGAAUGUAUCAGAGGUACGCAGUUUUCUUGGUUUGGCUGGGUAUUACAGAAAAUUUGUAAAUGGGUUUUCGAAGAUAGCUUUGUCGAUGACCAAGUUACUACAGAAGAAUGUUCCAUUUAUCUGAGAUGAUCAAUGCCAGAGAAGUUUUGAAACAUUGAAACAAAUGUUGACAGAGGCACCAGUCCUAACUUUACCAGAAUUAGGGAAAGAUUUCAUAGUGUACAGUGAUGCUUCUUUGAAUGGUUUGGGUUGUGUAUUGAUGCAGAAUGGAAAAAUAAUAGCUUAUGCAUCUCGACAGUUGAAACCACAUGAACGUAACUACCCGACACACGAUUUGGAGUUAGCUGCUGUAGUAUUUGCAUUGAAGAUUUGGAUACAUUACUUGUAUGGUGAGAAAUGUUAUAUUUACACUGAUCAUAAAAGUCUCAAAUAUCUUCUGUCACAAAAGGAGUUGAAUCUGAGACAGAGACGAUGGAUAGAACUUCUGAAAGAUUAUGAUUGUGUUAUAGAUUAUCAUCUAGGAAAGGCAAAUGUGGUAGCAGAUGCAUUGAGCAGAAAGGCAGCGGCUGAAUUACGGACAAUGUUUGCUCGGCUUAGUAUUAAUGAUGAUGGAAGUUUGUUAGCUGAGUUAAGAGUUAAGCCGGUAAUGUUUGAUCGAAUCAGAGCAGCACAACUAGAAGAUGAGAAGUUGAUGAAGAAAAGAGAAAUGGUACAGCAUGGUACGGUAGAAAAUUUUAGUAUUGACGAGCAUGAUUGUUUGAGAUUUCGGAAUCGAAUUUGUAUUCCAGCUACUUCUGAGAUUAAAGAGCUGAUUCUUCGAGAAGCACAUGAUAGUAUUUUUGCUUUGCACCCAGGUGGAACGAAGAUGUAUCGCGAUCUACGAGAACUGUAUUGGUGGCCAAGAAUGAAGAACGAUAUAGUUGAGUAUGUCAGUAAAUGCUUGACUUGUCAGCGGGUAAAAGCAGAACAUCAGGAACCAACAGGUCUGUUACAGCCUAUUACUAUUCCCGAGUGGAAAUGGGAUCGCAUUACCAUGGAUUUUGUUAUGGGGUUGCCAUUGUCAGUGAGUAAAAAGAAUACCAUUUGGGUGAUUGUUGAUCGACUCACAAAGUCAACUCAUUUUAUAGUAGUUAGAACCGACUGGUCAUUACAGAAGCUUGCCGAGGUUUAUAUUCGAGAAAUUGUUAGAUUACAUGGUAUUCCGGUAUCAAUAAUUUCAGACAGAAAUCCUCAAUUCACUUCGAGAUUUUGGAAGCAGCUGCAUGAAUCAUUGGGUACUCGACUUAGUUUCAGUACAGCUUUUCAUCCUCAAACUGAUGGACAAUCUGAACGGGUAAUUCAGAUAUUAGAAGAUAUGCUUCGAGCUUGUGUCAUUGAUUUUGAAUCAGGUUGGGAACGUUAUUUACCAUUGGCCGAGUUUGUUUAUAAUAAUAGUUUCCAAUCUAGUAUUCAAAUGGCUCCGUAUGAAGCACUUUAUGGUCGAAGGUGUCGGUCACCAGUAUGUUGGACAGAAUUAAAAGAAAGAAAAGUGAUUGGGCUGGAAUUAAUUCAAGAGACAGAAGAAACAGUUAAGAAGAUUAAAGAUAGACUGAAAGCCGCUUUUGACAGACAGAAAUCUUACGCAGACUUGAAACGACGAGACAUUGAAUAUUCCAUUAGUGAUAAGGUAUUCCUCAAAGUAUCGCCGUGGAAGAAAAUUUUGAGAUUUGGUCGGAAGGGAAAAUUAAGUCCGCGCUUUAUUGGGCCGUAUGAGAUUGUGGAAAGAAUUGGGCCUGUUGCUUAUCGAUUAGCCUUACCUCCAAAGUUACAGAAAAUUCAUGAUGUUUUUCAUGUUUUGAUGCUUCGGAGAUUUAGAUCGGAUUCUUCUCAUAUCAUUCCCACUGAAGACAUUGAAAUUCGAUCUGAUUUAACUUAUGAAGAAGAACCAAUUCAGAUAUUAGCACGAGAAGUGAAAGAAUUAAGAAAUAAACGGGUUCCUUUAGUAAAAAUUUUAUGGAGAAGUCAUAGUGUGGAAGAAGCGACUUGGGAACCGGAAGAGACAAUGAGAGCACAAUAUCCUCAUCUCUUCUCAGGUAAAUUUCGAGGACGAAAUUUAUUAAGGGGGAGAAAUGUAAUGACCCAAAAUUCACGGGCAUCGGAAAAGUAUAAUAUCGGGCCUCCGUCUUGAGUUUAAAAAUAAUUAUUAGAAAUAUUUAUGAGACUAGUUGUGUGUUUAAUUAGGUUUUAGAUAGGUGAAUUUGGCUCAAUUAAGAGUAAUUAGCAAAAGGGAUUAAAUUACAAUAGAAGUGAAAAUCUAAUCAUAGAUUAAAAGAAAGUAAAAAGGGCUAAAAUGGCAAUUAAGCCAUUUAAAAUGAUUGAGGCGGCAUAAAGGAAUAAAAUUUAAGAUUUUAUUUAUUUAAUUAUAUAAUUAAUGAUAUUUAUUAUUUAUUAUUAGUUAUUAGUUAUUAUUAAAUUAAAAGAUAUUUAGUAAUUAAAUAAUUAGUAUAAGAUUUUUGGGUAAUAAUAAAUUAUGAUUUUGUCAAGUGUGUGGUAAAAAUAAAAUACAAGUGUAUUAUAUUUAUUUAUUUACUUGAAAAUUAAGUAAAAGAUAAUUGUUAAUUAAAUAAUAAUAUUAUGAGAUUUUUAUUUGAUAAAUUAGUUAGAUUGAGACAAGUGUAUGUAAUGAUUUAAUGCAAGUGUACUAAUAAAAUACAUACAUUUGUAAUAUUUAUAAUUAAUUAAUAUAAUAUAAAGUAAAUGAAAUAAAAUGAAAUAAAAACAAAGCAAAAGAAAGGAAAGAAACAGAAUAGAAGAGACGAAACAGGGGAGAAACAGGGGAGAAAGAAGAAAAAGAAGAAAAUAGGGAAAAUAGGGUUUUUGAAGCUUGAAAUUUAAUUUGGUAAGUCAAAUUAGCCCUUUUCUCUUAAUUCUAAUGUUUUAAAAGCUUUAAAACAAAGUUUUGAUGGAAUUAAGUUGAUAUUUUGUAAGUUCAUAGGUUUUCAAGUAAUGUUUAUGUUGAACAAAAGAGAUGAAUUAAGAAUUAAAUUGAAUGAAUUUUAAGUUAGAAUUGAAAAAGGGAUUAAAUUGUAAAAGAAACUAUAAGUUUUAUGUUUUAGGGACUAAAUUGAGGGAAAUUCGAAAUUAGCAAAAUAUGCUGAAAUUUCGAUAGUUAAAUUUUAGUUUGGAUGAAAUUUGAAUAGAAAUAGAGUGUGAAUUGAAUUAGGAAAGCAAGUGAAUUUAGUUAGGAUUAAAUUGAGAAUUAGGAAGAAAUUGAAUAGAAAUUCAAUUAUUUAUUAUAAUUAGUGCUGUAAUUAAUAUUACAAAUUAUUAUUAUUUUCGUAGCUAACAAAGAACCCGAGGCAUCGGCGUCAAAAGGAAAGGAGAAAGUUAUCGAGGACUAAAACGGGAGAUUUACGGUUUGUAUUACUAUAAUUCAAAUUAUUUAUUUUUAAAUGUUUAAUUUUAAUUUAUGUGUUUAGUAAAUGAAAUGUGCGGUAAGUAUUAUUAUUAUUAUUAUUAUUAGUGGGAAUUAAACUGAAUAUUUGAUAUGAAUUAAUAUUUGAAUUGUUUGUUGAUUGAAAGUGGGAAGUGAAUUUAAAUCGAAUAGUGACUGAUAUUAAAUUGAAUGGAAAUGUAUUGAGUUGUGAAAAUGUGUGAAUUGCGGAUUAAUUAUUGAUUGAAAGGUGGAAAAAUGAUUGAAUUGAAAAUGUGAGAAAUUGUGAUUGAAUUGGGAUUAUAUGUGAUUUAAAUACCCUAUUAACUAGUCGGGCUGAGUCGGAUAUAGUUGGCAUGCCAUAGGAUUGGAAGAGUUCAGGGAUACUUCGACCUCGAGUCGAUGAGACACUGGGUGUCACUAUAUUUUUUCGGAUAGAUUCGAUGAGGUACUGGGUACCAACUUUCUUCAGCUUUGCCGAUGAGACACUGGGUGUCAACUAUUGCUUCGAACUAUCCGAUGAGGCACUGGGUGUCAUACUGGUGUGUUUGGUUGGAUCCGUGUAUCCGCCAAAGUCUGAUUUUUGUUAAUAGGGUAAUUAAUGAAAUGAUAAACCGAACGAGCUACUGAAAUGAAAUGAAAAAGUUGAAUUGUGAAUUGAAAUGUGAAAUGAGAUUGAGAAAUGAACCUAAAGUUCAUGAGAUGUUCAAAUUCAAAUUGUGGAUAUGUGAUAUUGAUUGAUGGAUUGCUAUUGUUGAGAUAUUGAAUUUAAAUUGUAUAUACGAUUUAUGCAUUACAUGUACAUUAUUGUUAUAAUUUGAAUUAUGGUAAUACCACUGAGUAUGAAUUACUUAGCGUACGGUUGUUUCCGUGCGCAGGUCGAUAGAAGUCAAAGGUCUCGGUUCAGCAUCCAGAUUAAUCCCGGCUUCAGCAUAACUUUGGUGAUGUAUAUUUUCUUUUGGUAAUGUGGCAUGUACAUAGGAAUUAUAAGUUUUAUAUAAAUGGUUAAAAAUGUUAGUAUUAUAAGUUUAUGAAUUAUAAUGAAAGAAGUUUAUCUAUUUUAAUCUAAUUAGUCAAUGGAUAAAUUUAAAUUGAUAUUAUGUUAAUUGAGUUUGAUUAGAAGUAUUUAGAAUAGAAAAUGUGAAUGUGAAAUGAAUUGGUUGAUUUGGUUAUAUUUGAAAAUGUUAUGGAUUUUAAUUGUAGGGGGUUGUAUGUAAAAAUAAGCAGAAGUGCUGCCGAAAUUUUUCGAAAAAAAAUGAAUGAAGUCUAUUAGCGAAAUUUAUAUGAAUUUAUUACUCUCUUAUAUAUGUUCGUUAAUUGUUUAUGAAUUAUUUGGAAUUUGUCUGAAAUGUCCGGUAAUGCCUCGUAACCCUAUUCUGGCAACAGUUCGGGGUUAGGGGGUGUUACAACAUCAUCCUAAUACCCAACGACUGAUAGUGUUGUUCCAUUUCCCACAAGAAGUUGUCCACUUCUCUAGUGGACCUUCCCCCUCAAACUUCUCUGGUUUGGGAACAUCCAUCUUCCGUUGAUUUGGUCUCGAAGCCAACAUCUUAUUGCUCAAAUUAGCCUUAUAGAUUGUGAGCUCCCCCUUAAGCUCCUCAAUUUUUUCUUUCAAGGUCAUCAUUGUGGCCUCAAGAGCAUCAUCCGUCACGGUCAACUUAUCCACAAUGGAACUAAGCAUCCAUUGCAUCACUUCCACAUUAGAACCGAGAGACUCCAAGAUAAAUUCCUUGAAUUUCUCCUUCAUCGAGUUUAACUCAUUGGUGCGUCGCUCAACUACCUUGAGUGUCUCCCCCAUAUCUCCAAUAGGCUCCUCAAGAUUGGUCACUUGAAUUGCCAAAGCCGACAGCAUUUCCCUCGAUCAAUUAGCUUUGCUAGAGCUCCCGUGGGUCUCCAUAGGCUUAAUUUGAUCUUCUACUCCUUUUGUCAUCUCAAGUGGCACUUUCAAAACCUUAGCUCUAAUACCAACUAUCACAGGGGUAGAACUUUAGUCUCACAAUCCGUGCGACCUUAGGCAAAUUCUUAGGUUCAAAUCCGCCUAAGUUAGUCUAACUCUUGCAAAGUGAAAAAUCUUGAUAGAAAUUCUCUAAGGUGCAAAAAAUAAAGUGAAAGUAAAUCAAAACAAAAGAACAAAAAAUGCCACAAGAAAGCAAAGUACAUCAAGUGUUUGAGUAAAUGUUCUCAAAGUAUUCUAUUACUCUGGAAAUAAUACAAAAAAUAGGAUAGGAUACAAUGGAAUAUUACAAAUGAGGGAGAAUGCCUCUAUUUAUACUUGAGCUCCCCAAGCCAACGAUAUAGAUUGAGUUACAUUAAUGAUUGAGAUUAAAUCCUAUCUACAAUUGAGAUUCUUAAAGGAUUGACUUAAUCUUUUAAGAUUAUAAAAUCAAGUCUUAUCAUGUUACAUAUCUUCUAAGAUUGGUUUCCUUAUUUGCCAAUAUAGCCCUAAUUUUCCAUAAAUGCUUCACUGGACUAUCAAUGCUUCAAGUAGACAGGCUUCUCCAUAUGCUCCACAAAUCGGGCCAGUUCAAAUGCGUCGAAUGAGCCAUGUUUCAUCAUUUGACCUCCAUGGGACAAUCCUUGGCAUUCAUCACGGGCUCUGAUCCGUGACCCAUGACAUAAGCACAUAAAUGUUUAGUAAGUUUAAUUGACAAGUAUUAUACUUAUCUUGCUAGGUGGACCUACAAAUUCAUUGCUCAACAAGCUUCAUAUUCUCGUAUUAGUUACUUAGCAUAAGAUAAGGAAAAUGUGUAGGUAACCAUGUUCAUUAAGUCUAUACAAGCAAAUUAUAACAUGUCCAAUAAGUGUUCAUUAUAUUCUAUUGAUCACAUGUGCACCUAUUUCCACUUUAUUACUACCUUUCAAUUCCAAUUUACGAGUUAAGAUAAUCAAGUUCAUACCUUUUUCAACCUUAAUUCUUUUCUUUAACCAUUUCUUGUCCAAUUUCAAUUUUGUAGCCCAUGUAAUCUUAGUAAAAUAGGACUCGGCUACUAUGAGAAAACCAAAAAUGCUAAGCCCAAAGGCCAUCACAUAUCAUAUCAUGUAGGCCUCCGAAGAGGUAUUGAAAGUCUAAUGGUCUAUAACAAAUGUUCUACCAAGGGUAAGCUAGAACUGGGUUUUCAGAAAACAAACCACAUACCUCUGAACCUCACACCACAACAAAUGUACUUAAGUGUAAGGCACAAAGGCAACAUAUAACAAAUAGGUUCAAAGGCGACAUACACAUAUAACUCUAAUUGACAUGUCAAUCGUAUCCUAACCUUUCUACCAAGUUUACAUAAGCUAUCAUUAACAUACUAAAGAAUUCACAUUUAAGUACCAUUAAGGCAAUUUUUCAUAUGUAUCGUCAUAUUUCCAUAAUGCCACACUUUAAUCACAAGAGUUAAGAUCUUCAAUUGAGGUUUUCAUACCACAUGAAUUUACGUGUUUGUUUAUUCACGUUAACAUGGUUACGUAUAUCAUAAUCAUACUAAAUCUUAACUUGACAUAGUCAAUUACCAUAUUUAACACGUUCUUUCAUAUUUAAUUCUUUGCAUAACAUAGUUCAGUAUAUAAACAUAUUAACUAGUAUAUUCCAUUAAGGUUCUGUUAAUAUACUCAUUAAUUAAUCGUCCAUUCAUGAUCUUAACAUGUUAUAUUCAUUAUGCAUCAAAUUAAAUGUUGUUGAGCUAUUUAACACCUAUAAACAUUGUACUAAAGACACAUAAUAAGCAAAUAUUGUAAGUUCAAGUGAACUUACCUAUUAAGAUCAUUUAAUGAUCAUCAAUUUAAAUUUUCAUUUCCUUAACUUAAGAUUCUACUCAAAAUACACACAACACAUACAAGCAUUGAAUUAAUAAUUUGAAUCUCCUUUGGUUAGUCUUACAAGCAUUGGAUUAAUUGAAUUCAACACUUGAUAGCCAUAUAGUGGCCAUUUUACUUGUUGAAAAUUCAAGAAUGCUUAACCUUUGAGCCUUAGACUUUUAUAUCCAAAAUUGAUAUAACUCGUAAUUUUCCUAUUCAAUUUUUGUUCCAACUUUAAAGUUAUAAUUUCAAGACCUCAAAUGAUCCAAAAACAUGUUUAAACUCCAAAGUUCUCAUAAUUAUCUCUAAGGCUUCUUAAGUACUCAACAAUGGUGGUAUGAACAUCCUUUAACCAAUUUUUAAUCCACCUUCUUUUCUAACUUACACUCUUCUAAGUUCAUCCCAACAUAAGCAUUGAACUAUCAUGAUCAAGCUUCAUCUCUUUCAGUUCCAAGCAUUCAUCUAUGAUUAUCUAAGGAUUUUUCUCAUCAAUUUUAACAUCGAAAAUGAAUGGGCUCAUGCUUAUCUAUUAUUUUAUGCUAUCAAUUAAACCAAAAUUCAAAGGAAACUUAUCAAUUUCUUGAAGAGCAACUCACGGCACCAUGAAACCUCCAUGAAAAUUUUCUUUUUCUUCUUUGUUCUUAAACCAUGGAGAAUGGAUGAGGAUGACCACAUAAUAAGCUUAUUCUCCCACCCACUAAGUAUAUAUAUACCUAAUUAAUCAAUUUAUUAACCUUUAAUAAUAAUCAUCCAAUGUUGGGAUUUAAGCAUGGCAAAUUGAGCGGAAAUGUAUGGCUUUUACCAUGCUUCUCCACUAAGUAAAUAAAUGAUGGUUUAUUUGUCAUUUUAAGGCAUUUGAUUAAUUUUUCAUCCAAUCCUCCAAACCUUGCUAGUGCAUAUUUAGAUCUUAUGCAUCAAUUACUAAUUUAUCAAUUUAAUCCCUUUAAUAAUUCUCGACAAUAUUUCAUAUCUACUUCAUUAACUUCUCGAUUAAUAAUAAAUUUUUGAAACGGCUUGAUCGAGAAAUCGAAUUAUUCCUAUCACAGCGAAAAAUAGAUCAUCAAACUAUUUUAAUUUGAUUUAUUAAUGUCUUUUCCAAAUUCGUAUUUAAUUAAUAAAUAUUCCACAAUAACCUUCAUUAAUUGAUAAUUUUUCCUUGUAUUAUAGGAGAUUUAUAAAUAUUCAUAUUGUAGCAUAAGUAAACUCAAUUUAAAGUGCACAAGGAAAUAGUCAAAUAUCUCAAACUUCAAGAGCCUUUAAUUAAGCCACAAUGUGUUCGCACACUCUAUUAACACUAGUGAAUUUCAUUAAUUAUAAUUUGAUCAUUAGAGUACUAGCUAAAAUUUUAUCCCAAGAUUCAAAUUGUCUUUCAAUAAAUCCUCGACAAUUUUGUGGUCUCUAACUCAAAAUUUUUUUACUUUUGUGAUAUUCGUAAAGAACAACUUCAGCAAGUAAUUCAUCUUUAUGAAUAGUCAUCACUAAUUAAAUCAUGCAUAUUAAAUUUGAUAUCAGAAAAGCUUACAAGUCGCAUCAUAAAUACAUAAUUGUGAUAUAUUUGAAUGGUUUUCCACCUCAGCAUAGGCUUAUUUUAGAGUAAAUUUGUAUGCAUUUUAGGGAAAAAUACCAAAAAAACCAAUUUUUUUUUAAAUUUACCGAAAUGGGCUCAGUAUUUUAUUAUUUACCGGAAUGGGCAUUUUCCCCGAAACCGCGUCCACGUCAGCACGAUGUCAAGGUACGUGCCAGGAAAUCGCGGCCACGUCAGCGCGCUUUGCUGACAUGGCAACAAAUCGCGUCCUCUAAAGCGCGAUUUGUGUCCACGUCAGCAAAACGCUCUGACGUGGACGCGAUUUCCUGGCACGUACCCUGACAUCGUGCUGAUGUGGAUGCAAUUUCGCCGUGUCUCCCACGUUAGGGUUUUUAGGGGUUUUAGGGCUUUUGGAGAAAAAAGUAAACAAAUAAGGGAUUAGGGUUAAGGGUUUCGUAAUUAAAUUAAUUAAAUUUUAUUCAAAAUUGGAUUACGUUUCGUGUUUAUGGGUUUUUAAGAUAAAAUCAAAGCAGGAUGAUUUAUCAGAAGGAUUUUUGAAGUCGCACCCACGUGUACGCGCUUUUGCUACAGUAGGUCUUGGGAAAAUAAUUUCGACUUGAUGUUUUUGAGCAAAUAGUUUAAAAAACAUUUCAAGCAGAAUGCUUUGUGAGAAGAAUUUGUGAAAUCGCGCCGUCGUGGACGCGCUUUUACUACAGUUGGUCCUAAAAGAAAUAAUUUCGAGUUGAUGUUUUUGAGCAAAUAGUUUAAAAAACGCUUCAAACAGGAUGCUUUAUAAUAAGAAUUUGUGAAGUCGUGCCCACGUGGAUGCGCUUUUGCUACAGUAGGUCCUAAAAAAAUAAUUUUGAGUUAACGUUUCUGAGCAAAUAAUAUAAAACAACGCUGCAAGUAGCAUGCUAUUUGAGAAGAAUUUGUGAAAUUGUGCCCUCGUGAACGUGCUUUUGCUACAGUUGGUCCUGGAAAAAUAAUUUUGACUUGACGUUUCUGAGCAAAUAGUAUAAAAUCGAUUCUAGAAGGAUGCUUUAUGAGAAGAAUUUGUGAAAUCACGCCCACGUGGACGCGCUUUUGCUACAGUAACAUGUUUGGGCUGAGGCUAUAAAUGAGGCAAAAAAUGUUCUGAGAUUGCAUAAGUCACAGCAAAAACAAUUUAGAGAGGCUAAGAAGGUUAGAGUUUCAAAUAUGAGUGAACGUAUUAGUGCUGUUAUUUACUACAGUGGUGAGGUUUGCCACACUGAGAAUGGUGUUGUUUUUUUGUCGAAGAAUACGGUGCGACUGGUUUUUAACCAAAACAUAGAUUUGACAGAACUUCGUAAAAGAAUUAGGCGUAAAAUUUUCGAAACGACGCCAAUGAAAGUUCUGUCUAUUACAUAUCGAUUUUGUUCCUCUGUUGAUCCGGUGACAUAUGACUCGUUCGACAUAAAAGGUGAUCGUAGCUUGGAGGCAAUUGUGCAGACUCAUCUUGCUAGUCGAGCACAUUAUAUUGAGUUAUAUGUACAAUUUACAUUGCCAAAUGAUGUACUUGCGACCAGUGUUCGAGAUGUAUACACGACCCCUGGCCAACAUUCGGUUAGCGGGUUAGAAAACACGAAACAGCCCAUGUUUGGUAGUGGUGUUGAAUGCACAUCCCCCGCAGGACCUCUGUCGGUGGAUGGGACAUGUACGUCGGUGGUUCGAUGUUUGAUGCUGGAAAUACGUACUGGGGAACGUCAUCAAGUUCUAGUGAUUAACAAUCUACAUCCAAUUGGGGACGUUAUGAAAUGCCCAGAAAAAAGGAUGAUGUACUCCCUACGACGUCAAUUGGUGAGGGGACCUCAUACGCUGCAGAUGAUUAUGGGUUAGAAGAUGACUCCGAUGUGGAUCUACCUCGAGAGCUCGGGCCUGAUGGUGUAGAAGUUGGCUUAUUUUCUGAACCGGAGUCUAUUCCAACAAAACUUGAAGAUGCUGAAAGGAGUUCAGAUGAAGAAGAAAAUCCACGAUUCAGAGCAUACUCACCUUCAGCCCACAUGCAUAAUGUCGAUCUGUCUGCAGAUGAUACAUUAGAGUUUCCAGAUCUACCACACUGGUUGCGUGAUCGUACCAGUUCAGGGCUAGAUUCAGGUGAAUUUUAAGUUGGUAAUCAGUUUACCAACAAGGAUAGUUUUAUUGGUGUUUUGAAACAACAUAGCAUCAAAAAAUGCGUUAACUACCACGUCGUUAAAUCCAAAUCUGAUAAGUUUGAAGCGAAAUGUACGGUGCAAUAUGGCACAUGUUCAUGGAAAAUCUACGCUUCGUUAAGGAAAAAGACAGGGUUGUGGGAGAUUAAAAAGUACAAAGGUCCACAUACAUGUGCUGCAGGUACAAUAUUGACGGUAUCUGAAUAAUACUUUUAUUAUGUAAUGUUGCAUUAUUUAAUGUAAUCCGUUUAUAGGUGUUUCACAAAAUCAUCCGAAGAUGGAUUCAGCUAUGUUAGCUAGCUUGAUACUGCCCACGGUAAAAGCAGAUUCCAGGAUUUUAGUACCGGUGUUAAUUGCCAAUAUUCGUAGCCAAAUGGGGUACACGCCCUCUUACCGUAAGGCUUGGAUAGCUAAGAAAAAGGCGUUGAAGAAGAUGCAUAGUUGGUGAGACGCCUCAUAUACUGAAAUAUGACAGUGGUGUCAAGUGCUAGAGAGAUACGUCCAAGGUGCCUCACAGACCUUGAAACGGAACAUGCGUACUACAACGGCCAAUUGCUACGUGGAUGCCAAGUGUUCAAACGUCUGUUUUGGACCUUUAAGUAAUGCCAAGACGCAUUUCCAAGCUGCAAGACAUUGGUACAAAUUGACAGUACCUUUAUGUUUGGUAGGUAUACUCAUCGGCUAUUGCUUGCAGUGGUACAGGAUAGCGGUGGGAGAAUUCUUCCAAUUGCAUUUGCAAUAACACCGGGGGAGUCGUCUGAUGACUAGGAUUUCUUUCUCUCUAGGUUAAGGAGGCAUGUGUGCCUCCAACCUGAUAUCUGUGUUAUUUCAGAUCGGGGCACCGGUAUACUAGUUGCAUUUGAUCGACAGGGAAGCUUAUGGCAGUGCACACACCAUCGAUAUUGCGUAAGACACGUUGCUUCCAACUACUACAGGCAAUACCCAUCUAAGAGCGAACGACGACAAGUGACCAACAUGGGUAUUUAGUCUAUAUCUGUGUUAUUUCGUUUCUCAAUUUGAAUUAGUUUUAUUAGUAGAAGUUGUAUGUAAUAUUCGCUAUGAACUUAUAUUGGCAGGGUAUGAAAUAAAUAAAUAUCGUUUCCACGAGAUGUUGGCAACUUUACGUUCAAUUAACGGAGAAGGGGCAGACUACCUUUGUAACAUACGUUUCGAACAGUAGGCACAAGCAUACGACGGCGGCCUACGAUAUGGCCAUAUGACGUCAAACCUGGCUGAAUGCAUAAAUUCUAUUCUUAAAGGAACAUAUUUUCGUUCAGCGACGCUAUUUCCAAAGCGAGCAGCAAGUUAUGCAGGCCAGAUGCAGGGAGGACAUGUAUGGUGCAGUAAGGUAGUUUAAGAAAUUAACAAGGCCAAGGCGCAGGCAAACACCAUGCACACAGUGUGUCACGAUCGAGACAACUUAUGGUUUCACGUGACAGAGUUUGACAGACCGCACCAAGGUGUUGUUGGCGGACAAUAUCGUGUACACUUGCGAAAUAGGACUUACAACUGUGGGAUGUUUGAUGCACUUCGUUAUCCAUGCGCUCAUGUUAUUGCAGCUUGUCAGAAUCUCCGUCUAGAUCCGAUAAAUUGUGUGGACGAAGUGUACAAAUUAGAAAACAUGUACAACGUCUGGAGACUCGUUUUUCCACUGGUCCCAGAUGAACGUAAGUGGCCCCCCGUAUCUCUUUCUCAUUUUAAGCUGUUACCGGAUAGAGAAUUACGUCGUAAACCAGAGGGUCGACCUUGCUCGACUAGAAUACAUAACAAUAUGGAUAUCCGAGAAACAGUCAAUCAACAUAAGUUGUGCAGAUGGUGUAGGAAUCCAGGCCAUACAAGUCGAUCAUGCCCUAAUCGCAAUAGUUGAAUGUAAUUUUUUUAAAAAAAAUUAUAUUUUUUCAAUUAUUAACUGAUAAUUGUAUUAAUUGUUAGUAAAAUUAUCAAAUUAUAUCAAAUAAUUAAUUGUUAGUAUCAGUCAAAACAUUUUUUCAAAUCUAACAUUAUGUGAAUAUAAAAUUAUUAACUGAUAAUUGUAUUAAUAUUAGUAAAAUUAUCAAAUUAUAUUUAAGUUAAGGGUUAGGGUUUUUAAGUUAAGGGUUAAGGGUUAAGGAUUUUAAAGUUAAGGGUCUAGGGUUUUAAAGUUAAGGGUUUAGGGUUUUUAGGUUAAGGGUUAGGGUUUUUAGGUUUAGGGUUUAUGGUUUUUAAUUUAAGGGUUAUGGUUUUUAAGUUAAAGGUCUAGGGUUUUAAAGUUAAGGGUCUAUGGUUUUAAAGUUAAGGGUUAGGGUUUUUAGGUUAAGGGUUUAGGGUUUUUAAGUUAAGGGUUAGGGUUUUUAAGUUAAGGGUUUAUGGUUUUAAAGUUAAGGGUCUAUGGUUUUAAAGUUAAGGUUUAAGGUUUUUAGGUUAAGGGUUAUGGUUUUUAGGUUAAGGUUUAGGGUUUUUAAUUUAAGGGUUAGGGUUUUUAAGUUAAAGUUUAGGGUUUUCAGGUUAAGGGUUAGGGUUUUUAGGUUAAGGUUUAGGGUUUAGGGUUUUUAAUUUAAUGAUUAUGAUUUUUAAGUUAAGCGUUUAGGGUUUUUAAGUUAAGGGUCUAAGGUUUUAAAGUUAAGGUUUAGGGUUUUCAGGUUAAGGGUUAGGGUUUUUAGGUUAAAUGUUUAGGGUUUUAAUUUAAGGGUUAAGGUUUUUAAGUUAAGGGUUUAGGGUUUUUAAGUUAAGGGUCUAUGGUUUUAAAGUUAAGGUUUAUGGUUUUUAGGUUAAGGGUUAGGGUUUUUAGGUUAAGGGUUUAAGGUUUUUAAGUUAAGGGUUUAGGGUUUAAAAGUUAAGGUUUAGGGUUUUUGGGUUAAGAGUUAGGGUUUUAGGUUAAGGGUUUAGGGUUUUUAAUUUAAGGGUUAGGGUUUUUAAGUUAAGGGUUUAUGGUUUCUAAGUUAAGGGUCUAUGGUUUAAAAGUUAAAGUUUAGGGUUUUUAGGUUAAGGGUUAGGGUUUUAUGUUAAAGAUUUAGGGUUUUAAAUUUAAGGAUUAGUGUUUUUAAGUUAAGGGUUUAGGGUUUUAAGUUAAGGGUCUAAGGUUUUAAACUUAAGGGUUAUGGUUUUUAGGUUUAGGGGUUAUGGUUUUUAAUUUAAGGGUUUAUGGUUUUUAAUUUAAGGGUUUAGGGUUUUUAAUUUAAAAGUUUAGGGUUUUUUAAGUUAAGGGUUUAAGGUUUUAAGGUUAAGGGUUAAGGUUUUUAGGUUAAGGGGUUAGGGUUUUAAAGUUAAUGGUUAGGGUUUUUAGGUUAAUGGUUUAGGGUUUUAAAGUUAAAGGUUAAUGAGUUAGGGUUUUUUGGUUAAGGGUUUAAGGUUUGUUAAUUAAAUUAUGCAUUUAAUUAUAAAUUAUAAAUUUAUAAAUUUUUAAUAAGUUAAGCGUUUAGGGUUUUUAAGUAGUAACUCAAAAAAAUUUCUAUUUUUAUUACAUCAAAAAAUAUCAAAAUAUUCAAAAUAUUUGUACAAAUAAAUUUAAAUACAAAAAUCAAUGUCUAUGCCCGCGGGAUUCAGUGCCACAUGGCAGCCGUCGACAGUUACGCGCUGGAUUCCUCCUUGUCCAGCUUUUGGCGGCGAUUAUAGUUCUUCCGGCGGCGGUUGUGGUUCUUCCGGCGGGGAUUCUGGUUCUUCCAGUAGGGCAUCUGGUUGUCGGAGUUGUGACGAUGAGCCACCUUGAUAGAAUUGUGAAUGUGGAGGUGUUUGCAUCACCAACGGCAACGGUGUUUGAAACCCAUACGGUGGUGGGGAUUGGUAAAAAGAAGAGCUCCCCGACGGCCCCUCUUGCGAUCCCUCGUGCGUCGCUGGCCUAUACAUCGGCGGUCGACUCGGCGUAACAGAAAUAGAGCUGAACCGGGCCAUUGGCUCCAACCUGCCAUAGGACUCGAAAAAGGAAACAUAUAAGGGUUAGGAUACAUAAAAGGGCUAGGAAACGCACCUGGCAUCAUCUGAAAAGGCGGUUGCGUGGGUAUCAUUGGUUGAACUGCUGGGUCGGGUGAAUGUCUGGGAGUCGUUGAAGGGCCAGCGUCGUCGUCCUGUCGUCUUGGAUUUAAAGGAUCGCGUCUUUCCCUUUGGACACGUAAUUGCCGCUGCCUCUCCUCUAGCGAUAGUAAAUACGGCUUGCCAUGGAUCCUAAACCAUGGCAUGCAUUCCGGCAUGCACGCUAACUCCGGAACGAUGAUCGGUUCCAUACUAGGUAUAUAGUCAUACCGAUCUUCCCACAUUUGGAUGUACUUGAACCAGAAUCUCGGCCAAUCCGUAUUCAAUUACCGAAGGUCGAUUUUGUGGUGAUCGUCAAACAUCUCAAGUUCCAUGGAAAUCGGUUGUCUACAUCCAAAUUGCCAUAACACCCUGUCUGACUGGUGCAUCUCCACGGUCGCGUAGUUGAUCAACGCGACUUUCGCCUGCCAAGCGUUUGGAUUUUGUAAGAACUCUUUCGGAAUUACUGCCCAAAUUGCCGGAUCCUCAUAUGGUGUCCAUUGAAACUAUAUGAAAAUGAUAGAAAUAUUAAUUAUAUACAUAAUACUAAAUACUAAAUACCAAUCGACUAGCGAAUGAUGGAAAUAUCAAUUUUAUUUAAUACUUACAUGUGCUUCCGACUAUUGGUCUAAUAGAAGCCGUAUAUCUUCAAGAGAGGUAGGUAAUCGAGCAUGACUUGCCGGAUGGUUCCACCUAAUUAAAUAAAUUUUUAGCAUACUUUUAUUUUUAAAAAUCUACAUAAUAAUUGUAAAAUCUAAUAUAAAAUUUACCUCGUUAUCAGUGGGAAUGUAUAUGGGUGGUCCACUCGAGGAUGUAGAAAUGAAAAGCGAAACCGUGCCCAUGAUUGCAGUAGGGACAGGCAACCUCCGAUUUUUGCUUUCCUCGGUCGCAUCGCCCCGUACAUCUCCUUAUAUAACGUUGUCAAGACGGCAGACCCCCAACUUAAUUCACCAGCUGCUCUAAAAUCAACGAGUUGCAGCAGCCAUCUUAGAUGUACGCGGCUCCGUGACAAGUCAGGCAUCAGAUAACCUCCAAUUAACUGAAGAAUGCAUGCCCGAGCAUAUCGGAUUCUUUCUAUUUCGGUUGAAUCUUCAUCCGGAUCCGGGAAUGUGUCUCGAAACCAGCCCAUCUCGAUCUUACCUCCCUCCAUUUUCUCCAGAAUAGCGCCCAAAAGCUCGUAGCACACCGCAAGCCAAUCGCUAGAUUGGGUAGACCCGGUGACUGGGUACCCGUCCACCGGCAAUCCCAAUUGUAGACUGACAUCUUCCAAAGUGAUAGUGCACUCUCUACAUCUUAAAUAAUAUUUAAAAAUUAAAUUUAACGCUUACCAUUUUCAUUUGUUCCACCGAUAUGUGAUGCUUAUCAAGACGAGUCAAUUCUUCGGCCAUUGCUGAAAUCGUACAAAUUUUUAAUGUUUAAAAAAAUUUUAAAAAAGUAAAAUUAUUUAAAAAAAGAGAUUUAAAAGAAAUUUAAGAGGAACUUGGGAGUAAAUUGAAAAUAAAUAUGAAUUUGAGAGAAAUUUUAAAGGAAUUUGAAAGCAAAAGAGUGGGGGUAUUUAUAGUUUUUUUUUUACCGUUCGGGGGGGCAAUGGUCAAUUUUUUGACCGUUGCACUGUUCACGUACGGGGCAAAUCGCAACCACGUCAGCGCGAUUUGCUGACGUGGACACAAAUCGCAUCCUCUGAAGCAGAAUUUGUUGCCACGUCAACGCGCUAUUUGCUGGCACAUACCCUGACAUCGCGCUGACGUGGACGCAAUUUCGAGAAAAAAUGGCCAUUUCGGUAAAUAAUAAAAUACCGGGCCCAUUUCGAUAAAUUUAAAAAAAAAUAGACUUUUUUUAGUAAAUUGCCCUACGUUUUAGUCUUGUUACAAUAUCCAAGUCUAAUGCCAAUAUUGAAGUAUACCGUAAUAGUAAUUAUUCUCUCUAUCUAGUACUCGAAACUGGUUUUAAAUAUCUUCCAUUCACUCGACAAAUAGUUAUGGUCUAAAUAAAUUUCUGGAAUUCAUGGCUGCCUACUUGCGAGAGGAUUAAUGAAAUAUGCGAUGCAAGUUGAUGAAAUCUUAUUAUUUGUAAUAUAAAAAACAAAACCCAUGCAUCCUUAAUAACAUAAAAAAAACACAUUCCAUAAUCAACAUCUGAGAAUUUAAAACUUAAUUGUAAUGUUGGCUGAACAAGACUCAAAAAGGGGAGAAAAGAAAAAUAAGUCCGAACCUGAAAAAAGUGACCGUAUAAAAAACCCUGACAGGCAGAACAGUAGCAAGCAACAUAAAACCAAGACAUAUUAUCACUUAAAGCACUUGGCAUCCAAGAGAGGCUCUCCCUCAAAUGGCUCGCAGUCUUCAAUCAUCUGAUUCACCCGUUCCUUCUGGGCUGCAUCUGACAGGUCAACCUUCUUCCACUCGUAGAGUUCCAUGUCAUAGCACUCGUCAAUCACAAAUUGAGGAAUCUCUUGCCCACGGAAAAGCCAUAGUCCUUUCACCUUGAAUGGAG
rnacentral:lncRNA from 1 species